rnacentral:rRNA from 1 species
GAUGAACGCUGGCGGCGUGCCUAACACAUGCAAGUCGAGCGAUCUUCUUCGGAAGAGAGCGGCGGACGGGUGAGUAACGCGUGGGUAACCUGCCCUGUACACACGGAUAACAUACCGAAAGGUAUGCUAAUACGAGAUAAUAUGCUUUUGUCGCAUGGUAGAAGUAUCAAAGCUUUUGCGGUACAGGAUGGACCCGCGUCUGAUUAGCUAGUUGGUAAGGUAACGGCUUACCAAGGCGACGAUCAGUAGCCGACCUGAGAGGGUGAUCGGCCACAUUGGAACUGAGACACGGUCCAAACUCCUACGGGAGGCAGCAGUGGGGAAUAUUGCACAAUGGGCGAAAGCCUGAUGCAGCAACGCCGCGUGAGCGAUGAAGGCCUUCGGGUCGUAAAGCUCUGUCCUCAAGGAAGAUAAUGACGGUACUUGAGGAGGAAGCCCCGGCUAACUACGUGCCAGCCGCCGCGGUAACAC